GAGACCCCAGGGGCCUGGGGCUUCCUCAGUUUCCACUCCAAGGAUGUUCCACAGAGCUAGGAAAUAGUGUGGAGAGUGACCGGGGCAAGGCCAUAGCUCCUCAGCCCCUGGUACUGCUUUGGUCAUGGUCAUUGACAUCUGGCUCCCAUGGCCUUAUCCGACCCAUCCUCAUGAAGAGGAACUACCUUUCUCCAAUGUCCUCGAAGAUACAAGACCCAAGACACAGAAGACAAAAAAUCCAUGGAUGCAGCCAAACAUCUGGACCAGAUGAUGAGUGCACAGGUGAGGGUGCUGGGAUGGCUUCUCCAGCAGUGGGGAUGGAAGAUGAUUUGGAACCCUUGGGAAUUUCUGCAGGUGUGUCUGCAGGGAGGACUUUUCAAGCCCCAGGGCUGGAUGCUGCACACAAUCCCAGCUCCCAUGGCAGGGGUGAGUAGUGUGUCCCUGCUGACACCGCAGGCUGAGUCCUAUUUUUGUGGGAUCCAUCCACACGAACUGGAAGUACUUUUAAGGUCCUCCAACAGGCAGUACCAAAGAGGAGACAGUAAGUUCCUGGAGUCAGGAAAACAUCUGGGCCAGAUGCUGAGUG